rnacentral:lncRNA from 1 species
GGAUCUCCUUCUAAGACAUGGUGGGCAAAAGUCUUCUUUUCUCUAGAAUCCUUUACCCAGACUGUGAGGGAAAGGGACCAACCCAAAGCCCUACCUGAGGACGUGGGUGACAGAGGGAGAAAGAAGUCCACCAAGGUCAAGUCCUGAUGGUGAACCCGGACUGCUUAUGAAGGAGAGCCAUCCCACAGGGACAAGUUCCCAGGGCCCUUGCUGGCAGGAAGAGGCAUCCAGAUUGCAGAUGUACUUGUUCCUGUUCCUGGCAAGACCCACUUCCCACCGUGACUGACAAGUUUUGGACCCAGUGGCAACGUGGAGUAGAAGAAAGAGCAUGGAUUUUAGAAUGAGACUGGCUCCCCGACUCAUUAGCCUGCAAGUUCCUUAACCUUUGUAAGAUGCAUUUUCCUCCCUUAUUUGUAAAAUGAGGUUUACUAAGAUCUACCCUGAGAAGCUAUCGUAAGGAAUGCCUAAGCUAGUACUGGCACACAGCUGCAGCUCAAUGAAUGGUAGAGAUUUUCCAAACGCAUUGACAUCCUGAUUUGUCAAUCAGUCUUUUGUGAGUUCGUCUUGCAGCCAUGGAGUAGCAACAGAGUCAAGGUUCCCAGCACCACACACCAAAUCCAGUUCCCUUCAGGCUGCAUCUCCGGUUUGUUGGACCUUGGUUUUCCAUGUGUUUUUUUAGCUUUGUUUACUUUCUUGCCACCAGCUCCAAGGAACCCCCAGCCCCUGACUGAGCCAGGCUCUAUCCACCACCCCUUGGAGGGCCAGAGGGAUUCAGGCUCAACCAGCCUUCCUGUCCUUUCUCUCGCUGUGCUCCCAACUUCCAUUUUUCGCUACUGGAUCUAUUGGCCAGAUCUUCCCCAUCAGACCAAAAAGAGGAUGGGAACAACUAUUCAGAUAAUUCAGACACUUAUUCAAGCAAAAAUGAUGAUACUUCUCCUCCUGAAUGAUCCGGAUAGUUGUUUUAAUUCUCAGCUUCACUUUGUCUCUGGAGCCCCAGGCUCUUCUUUGUUCCGUGACUCUAGUUAAAAUUCGGUCCCAGUGAUAAAUAUUUCUGAUCUAAUUGUUUCUUCCACUCCUGUUCCACAGGGGGUGUUUUCAGGGAAAAGGAUCUGUAGGUAAAUGAGAAUUAACUUCAAGCCUGGGCAAUGUUAGAAUCAAAAUAAAGCUGUCAUGGCAGACCUGCUAUCUACAUUUCACUUUCUGGAAGCGCCCCACUCUAUUUCAUCCCUCCCCAACCCCUGACACACGCAGCAGCAAGGAACAAAUCACCAUUUAUUAAACUCUA